AGUCUGCUGUAUCGACAUGGACAAAACUUUGAGCAUGAAUGUGACUCCAGGUUUACACUGAUGAAAGAAAAUCAGACUGUGUUUCUCCACCUGACAAAUUUAACACAGGAGGACAGCGGGAACUACACCUGUGAGUGUGUACACACUGGAGGAAGAUAUAAGCUUCAUCUCAAUGUAACUGUGGAAGGCAUUGAAAGCCAUAAAGUCACCACCAGUCCUACAGAAAUACCUUUUUCUUUGUCUUUCUUUGUUUUAAUUGGAGUGCUUGUAGUCCUAAUCAUAUCUGGAGUCAUCCUUGGAUUUAUAUACGAAAGAAAAUGCAGCAGCAGAAGACGACAGGUGCCAAUAACCAAUCCUGGAAUAAUAACUGAACCUGGAAACACAGAAGCGUACAUGGCAGCGGGAGAAAUUGAGCCAUACAGUAUCUUCAUCCAAACAGAAAAUGGGCUUUAUUCAACUUCUAAAAUAAACUUAAAUCAUAUUACUUGAAAUACAUUUUAUGCAGCA